GACGACAGAGCCAGAUCCCGUCUCAAAGAAAAAAAAAAAAAAGAAAUACAUUCUCUGACCUCAGUGGUAUUAAAUUUGAAAUCACUAUAAAACAAGAUCUAUCAAAAGAUCAAUAUAGGCUGGGCGCCGUGGCUCAUGCAUGUAUCACUUGAGGUCAGGAGUUUGAGACCAGCCUGGCCAACAUGGCAAAGCCCUGUCUCUACUAAAAAUCCAAACAUUAGAUCGGUGUGAUGGUGCGUGCCUAUAGUUGCAGCCACUUGGG
rnacentral:lncRNA from 1 species